rnacentral:rRNA from 1 species
AUUGAACGCUGGCGGCAGGCUUAACACAUGCAAGUCGAGCGGGGAAAGGUAGCUUGCUACCUGACCUAGCGGCGGACGGGUGAGUAAUGCUUAGGAAUCUGCCUAUUAGUGGGGGACAACAUUCCGAAAGGAAUGCUAAUACCGCAUACGUCCUACGGGAGAAAGCAGGGGAUCACUUUUGACCUUGCGCUAAUAGAUGAGCCUAAGUCGGAUUAGCUAGUUGGUGGGGUAAAGGCCCACCAAGGCGACGAUCUGUAGCGGGUGUGAGAGGAUGAUCCGCCACACUGGGACUGAGACACGGCCCAGACUCCUACGGGAGGCAGCAGUGGGGAAUAUUGGACAAUGGGGGGAACCCUGAUCCAGCCAUGCCGCGUGUGUGAAGAAGGCCUUAUGGUUGUAAAGCACUUUAAGCGAGGAGGAGGCUCUUUUGGUUAAUACCCAAGAUGAGUGGACGUUACUCGCAGAAUAAGCACCGGCUAACUCUGUGCCAGCCGCCGCAGUAA